CAAUAAAUGACUCAGAAAGGGAAUGAGCUGAGAAGAAAGGAGGUAGAGGAGAAAGAAGAAAGAAGAAGUUGUCAUCCAGGAACGACUUCCUGACUGACAUCUUUGUAGAAAGAGGGGGCACUCAGAAGUAUCUGGGAGAGCUGAGUUCUACGAUUUAGAAUGUGUGAUGUUGAAAUAAACAUAAAGUAAUUUUACUCAUUAGCUAAUGAAGCCUAGGAAUUCAGUGUGCAAAUGGCUGAGAGGAUUGAAGUUGGAGACAGUAGAAGAUUAUUUAGGAGGUCAAUCAAUGAAGUAAGAAGCAGCUGAAUGAGAAGAUAGAUGGUGAAGAUCUUUGGAAAUGAAUUCAUGUCGGAGAUAAUGCACUUUUGAACUCUGGCAUGGGAAAAUCACUUGGCAAGGCCCUGCCCUAUUCUCAACACUGGACAGGGAAGGAGCUACUCACCAAGUUCAGCCUCACCACUAAUUCCAGCCAUGGCUCUGGUGAUCAGUUA
rnacentral:lncRNA from 1 species